AUAUCAGUCUGCUUUUUGCAUGAGAGUUUAAUGAAAAGGUAACAAAUCAAUUGGAUGUUCUGUCUGACAAAAUACACAUGAGUUUUAGUAAUCUACGUUCCAAAUUUUUAAACUGUUCCACAAUUAAAACUUCCAGUGUUUGCGUACAUUAAAGUUUGUCUGACUAGACACCGUUAAGCUAUAGGGCUUUUCAUUCACAGUCAUUUGUUUCGAGCUUCUGUCAUAUGCCGUAUAAUCCGUGUAUAGGGCUUUUCAUCGAUUGUCAUUUGUUUCGAGCUUCUGUCAUGUGUCAUAUUAUAUUAAUAUAUCUACGUCAUAUGUCUUUGGUUUGUAUCAUUGGUAUAUGCCAAUAACGUAUGACGUAGAUAUAUUAAUAUUAUGUGACACAUGACAGAAGCUCGAAACAAAUGACUGUGAAUGAAAAGCCCUAUAUUAAUAUUAUAUAACAUAUGACAGGAACUCGAAACAAAUGACAAUUGAUGAAAAGCCCUAUUAGCAAAUUUUCAGCUUGCUAUUAAUCAACUUUUUUUUGGUACGUGGGAUCCAGGCCUAGCAGGGUAAGGGUGCACUCACUAAGGAGACCAAAGGAUGGUAUCCUCUCCUAGAACAGAGUAUCCUACUACUCUUCAUUAUCGUGAACGAUCUCAUCGCAUUUAACAUAAUGCAUCGGGCGAUCCAUGAUAUGGUACGAGGGAUACCAGGGAGCGAGGGUCGGCGCCUCGUUGUGAGCACAACUUUACAUUUCCUGGUACUUACUGUAUCCUGAUGAUGUAGUGUUAGUAGGAAAUAGUGAAAGCUACUUAGAACAAAAACAAAAAUUCAUUUUAUGAUAUAAUAUAUUGAAGUACUAAACAACUAAAAAAUCACUUAAAAAUUAAACACUAAACCAAUUAAACUAAAAAUCAAAUAAAGUCUAUCACACAAACAACUUGGUUUCACAAAUAAAAAUAACAAUAUUUAUUAAUAUAACAUAAACAUUUUCACAUAACCAAACUAAACGGCAAGUAAUUUUUGUUUAGAAAAGUUUAAAAUUACGUUUACGCGUGCGUUUACCUAAAAGAAAUUACAUACGAAGGUAGGCAACCCCUUGGAUAUCAUUGAUGGUAAUACUAUAUUAUUAAUCUAUGAUCAUUGAUACAGCAUACCGAUUUUACACACAAGAUUACAGCCUGUAAUUCGAGUUUACCGUACGUGUACGUAAUCAGUUUACGUAAAUGAUACAGCAUAGCCCCCAUUUUUUCAAAUUUAGAAUAUGGCAACAAGGGAAAAGUUAUGUGCAUUCCUCAUUGUUUGACUUUUCCUAUAUCUUUAGUAUCAGGUCAUCAUUGGAAGUAAUGCAGAACAAGAAUUGAAUUUGGAAUCGCCGAGAAAAAGGAUUGGUGUACAAAAUAAGAAAGUAUAUAAAGGACAACAAACAUCUUCCAUAAGCGAUCAAAAUUGUAUAACUGAAAUUCAGGAAAUAGAUUCUGCUCCACCUUUAGAAAAACUGUAAAUAGUAUUUAAGGCAACGAUUGUGAAUGAGUGAGAAGUCUAAUAAAGCCACAACGAGAUACUGUAUUAGAGCGUACGAUUUGGAGGUAUUUUUGAUUAGAUAAAUUUUGUAAAGUACAAUAUAAAUUAGAUUUGAUAAUGUGUAGUAUUUCCUAAUAAAUUAAAUACUAUUAAGUGUUUAUUAUUCUUGUAAGUUAGUGUGGUAAAUAAAUAAUAUGAAGUAAG